rnacentral:rRNA from 1 species
UCGAACGGGGAUAUUGUUUCGGCAGAAUCCUAGUGGCGAACGGGUGAGUAGCGCGUAGGCAACCUGCCCUCCAGACGGGGACAACAUUCCGAAAGGGAUGCUAAUACCGGAUACGAAGGAGCCAUCGCAUGGUGGUUCUUUGAAAGAUGGCCUCUAUUUAUAAGCUAUCGCUGGGGGAUGGGCCUGCGUCCGAUUAGCUGGUUGGUGGGGUAACGGCCUACCAAGGCGACGAUCGGUAGCCGGUCUGAGAGGAUGAACGGCCACAUUGGGACUGAGACACGGCCCAGACUCCUACGGGAGGCAGCAGUGGGGAAUCUUCCGCAAUGGGCGCAAGCCUGACGGAGCAACGCCGCGUGAGUGAGGAAGUUUUUCGGAACGUAAAGCUCUGUUGUUCCUGACGAACGUGCCACCUAUCAACAACGGGUGGCAAUGACGGUAGGGAACGAGGAAGCCACGGCUAACUACGUGCCAGCAGCCGCGGUAAUACGUAUGUGGCAAGCGUUGUCCGGAAUUAUUGGGCGUAAAGCGCAU